GCAGGGGUAGCCAAGCCUGGCCAACGGCGCAGGACUUAAGAUCCUGUCUCGUAGGAGUGCGUGGGUUCGAAUCCCACCCCCUGCA
rnacentral:tRNA from 2 species